UAAAAACGCCCGGGUGGCGCUGAGAAGCAUUGGAAAAAAAAGCUGAAGUCUCUGGAGGUGGAGGCUGCUACAUGUGCCAAACUGACGGACCUGUUUGGUGCCGGGUUCACCAGCCCAGCAGCAGCAGGUGCGCCGGGAGACGAGCGAGGAGGACUCGACAAUGAUGAGCGAGUGGAGGCAGACAUGGUUGUUGUGAUAUAUUUGAGGAGUCGUUCUCCCUCUGUUUUAUAUGUGGACAUUUGUGACCACUGUUAUAAUUUGGUUGACCACUUGACAUGUGAGAGCCUGAGGAGUUGUUCCCCCUCUGUCCAUGUUCGAGGACUUGCUCUCUGUCUGCCUCCACUCUCUGCCUUCACUGUACCAAAGUUUGUCUGUUGAGUCUCCUCUAGUCUGGUUGACCACUUGACAUGUGAGAGUCUGAGGAGUUGUUUUCCAGACACAGGUAGAGCUGGCAGGGGCGUCACCCGAGGAACCCCUGACUGCAGCUCGCAGAUCGAGGAGGAGCUUAAUUUUCCCUAAAUGUGGGCUGGUCUAAACGUUUAAGCAAAAAAGCGGGAGAUCGUAUUUCCGUCUGAGUCCAUAAUACUGCGCGCUUUUCUGCCUAGAGAUUUGCCUACAUUGUAUCGCCAUCCUACCACAGCUCGCACACGCACACUGCACAACCACAUUGCACCACAGUGCACCACAUAACACACACAUUACAAAACCAACAGUUCUUUUAAGAACCACUGUCUGUCUGUCUGUCUGUCUGCCUGUCUGUCAGUCACUGUCAGUGUCCUGAUUUUCUCUGGUCAGGUAGGUUCACUGCAAUGCUUAAAAAAAAUCUUAUUUCAUAUCCAGGUUUAUAAAAACAGUAACUAAUGCGCUAUAUUUGUGUGUGUUUCUACCCUAUAGUAUGUCUGAGAGAAAUAAAGAAGGUGUCCCACUGCGGUCCCCCCCGCUACAUGGAGCCCCACAUCCUGGGCUGGAGGCCUCUCAUGCUCAAGCUCAGGCUCAUUUGAAGUAUCCUCUUCCUGAGGCCACCCCCGAUGACGUCAAUGUGAGACACAUUAAUAUACUUAUGGAUGGUGAUACACCAAACAUUAAUAAGAUCACCAACAGUGAACUGUUCCACUGUCCCUUCUGUAAAUACG